CAGCCCAUUUACCAGAACAGCAAUGUGCCCACCAAGCCCACUGCAGCCAAGAUCUUGGGAAAGGUGGGAGAGAGCCUCGGCCGGAUCUGCUGUGUCCGCCCACCCGUGGAGCGCUUCACUUUUGUAGAUGAGAACGCCAACCUGGGCACAGUGAUGCGGUAUGAGGAGAUCGAGCUGCGCAUCUUGCUGCUGUGCGGUAGUGACCUGCUGGAGUCCUUCUGCAUCCCAGGACUCUGGAAUGAGGCAGAUAAGUGCCUACAGCUGCAUGCUCUAGGGGGCGACAGAGAGCAAUGAACUGAGGAUACCU
rnacentral:lncRNA from 1 species